rnacentral:rRNA from 1 species
UACAGAGGGUGCAAGCGUUGUUCGGAAUUACUGGGCGUAAAGGGCGCGUAGGCGGUUUGGUAAGUCAGAUGUGAAAGCCCGGGGCUCAACCCCGGAAGUGCAUUUGAAACUACCAGGCUAGAGUGCAGUAGAGAAUGGCGGAAUUCCCAGUGGAGAGGUGAAAUUCGUAGAUAUUGGGAAGAACACCGGUGGCGAAGGCGGCCAUCUGGACCGGCACUGACGCUGAGGCGCGAAAGCGUGGGGAGCAAACAGG